AUUGAACGCUGGCGGCAUGCCUUACACAUGCAAGUCGAACGGCAGCGGACCUUCGGGUGCCGGCGAGUGGCGAACGGGUGAGUAAUGCAUCGGAACGUACCUUUCAGUGGGGGAUAACGUAGCGAAAGUUACGCUAAUAUCGCAUAUUCUGUGAGCAGGAAAGCAGGGGAUCGCAAGACCUUGCGCUGAUUGAGCGGCCGAUGUCAGAUUAGCUAGUUGGUGAGGUAAAGGCUCACCAAGGCGACGAUCUGUAGCGGGUCUGAGAGGAUGAUCCGCCACACUGGAACGGAGACACGGUCCAGACUCCUACGGGAGGCAGCAGUGGGGAAUUUUGGACAAUGGGGGCAACCCUGAUCCAGCCAUGCCGCGUGAGUGAAGAAGGCCUUCGGGUUGUAAAGCUCUUUCGGCCGGGAAGAAAUCGCACGGGCUAAUACCCUGUGUGGAUGACGGUACCGGAAUAAGAAGCACCGGCUAACUACGUGCCAGCCGCCGCCGUAAUAC
rnacentral:rRNA from 1 species